AGCUUUGCUCAGUGGCUAUAUUGUAGUCAAUGAAGUUUAUCUAAGACGUGAUUAUUGCUAAUUGUAAUCUUUUCCAAAUAACCUUGCCAGGGCUACUUCCAAUAUUAAGGCGGCUGAAUUCCACAUGUCUGACUCUGUGGUUUAGUCCCUCACUGGUAGUUUGAAAAUCAUGCCAGGUGCAUGUGCAU
rnacentral:snRNA from 1 species